CCUUAGCCUUCCAAGCUAACGAUGCGGGUUCGAUUCCCGCUACCCGCU
rnacentral:tRNA from 4 species